CUACAUAUAAUUUCGUGUCAAUUCAAUCAGAUACUUUGCCAGAAACAGGAACAAUUGAAUAAGUUAAGACUUAUCUUUCCAAAAAUAAAGAUCACAAUGGCAUCUGUUGUAAAAUACGCAAAGAAUGUUUAUUAUGAUUCUUUUAAAUGGUCUGUAAUUAAGAGCAUUGGCUUAUUUGUAUUAGGAGUAAAGAUUGCUCUUGAAUGUAAAGGAAUGAACCUAAUGCCACCAAUCUCUUAAAAACUGAAAUAUACAAGCUGAAAAUAUAGAAUUUACUAAUAUAUUUAAAUCUGCCAUAUUAUACAUGUGCAUAUGUAAUAUUUUGUAAUUUUAUCAUGUAAAAAAUCAUGUUAAAGGAAGGAGAACAUUUAUAUAUACUUGCUUUACCCGAUUCCUUCAUUCAUUUCUAUGCUUGUACGUAUGUAAAGUCAAAGACACCAUAUAUCAUGUUAAUAUUAUUUGUAAUAUGUAAUAAAGCUUUCAACUGGUUUUAUUUCUCAAGAAGCUUUGUGUAAUAUAUAUUAAUAAAUGUAUUUGUUUUCCUUAA